UACGAAGGGAGCUAGCGUUGUUCGGAAUUACUGGGCGUAAAGAGUACGUAGGCCGUUUUUUAAGUUAGGUGUGAAAGCCCCGGGCUCAACCCGGGAAUUGCACUUAAAACUGAAAAGCUAGAGAUUGGGAGAGGAAAGUGGAAUUACUAGUGUAGAGGUGAAAUUCGUAGAUAUUAGUAAGAACACCAGUGGCGAAGGCGACUUUCUGGACCAAUACUGACGCUGAGGUACGAAAGCGUGGGGAGCAAACAGG
rnacentral:rRNA from 1 species